UUUUACCAACACCAGACACUGUUAAUUAAGUAUAGUCAUCCUGAAGUAAUGGUUUGAAUAGUGACUCCAGGAAGAGUAUUGCUGUGUUAUAUGUCACUAAUUGGAGAUUCCUUAUAUAAACCAACAAACAAUGACAAUAGAAUAUGUUUGUUGCAGUUUGUCAAACUCCUAUACGCACAAAAUCAGGGAGCGGGUACCACUGGACUGAAAAACCAUUGACAGGAUCCCGCUUCAUGUUUGACGUGGAAGCCACAAGUGACGCCAUUGUGGCAUUGUCAUCCAAGGAAAAAAAGCCGGAUGACAUGUAUAAGAUUUUUAUCGGUGGCAAGAAAAACACAGAGUCUACCAUACACCGCAUCAAGAGCGGUAUCCUCACAGAAGCCGAGACAUUUAACUUCGUCUCCCCGACAGAGUUCAAAAUGUUCUGGAUUACGUGGUCUUUGGAUGGAACCAUUGCUGUUGGGAGGGAGAAUGAAACUCAGCCGUUCUUGGAGUACAAAGACCCAAACCCCCUGCCCAUCAUGUAUAUGCUGGACUAGCUACUAACGGAAACGGCGAUCCUGCACGGUGGUAUCUUUGUCACAUUGCUACGCCUGAAGAUCAUCUACAUUAUGGGAAAGACUGCCAGGUGGACCCCAACAUUAGGAGGGCGUGCGGCUGGGAUGGAAUCACACCAGAUAAGUGUCGUAAGAAAGGAUGUUGCUAUGAUGAUUCCGUGGAUCAUGCAAAAUGGUGCUAUCAGUAUCACAAACUGUAGGUUCAGGCACUUUUUAUGUUUCAGUGUGCAAAUGUAAUUUCUGACUUUGUAUUGAUAUUGUAUUGUAUUGUCUGUUUUACCCUCCCUUCCACUUGUAUACUAGUAUUUCUUGUGGCAAAUCCAAGUAAAUAAAUAUAAUUGUGCACCUUCCCUAUACAUUUUUCACUGUAAUUUUGACAGUGCGCAGUACCUUUUAACUAGUCUGUAUAUUGGACUAACAAAAAAUCAUCACUUUUCUAGUAACAGAAAGUAUGAAGUCAGUUUCUGUCAGAUUUCCAUUUUUGCAUGGCUUAUGUAAACUACGUCCCAAAAUCUACGUCACAACACGCUUGAGUUUAAUACAUUGUUGAUGUUUUAAUCUAUAUAAGGAGAUUGGUGUUACUGUGCCUUUGUGUUACUGUGCAUUUUGAUGUUUAAACCUAUAGCAGGAGAAAGUUAUUAUUGUACCUUUCGAUGUUUUCAUCUAUAGCAGAUGAAUGUUGUUACUGUGCAUUUAAAUUUGUAAAUAUAGCAGAAGAAUGGCGUUACUGUCACAGUAGAUUUCGAUGUUUAAAACUAUAGCAGGAGAAUGGUG